rnacentral:misc_RNA from 1 species
GAAGAAGAACGCAGCGAAAUGCGAUACUUGGUGUGAAUUGCAGAAUCCCGUGAACCAUCGAGUCUUUGAACGCAAGUUGCGCCCGAAGCCACUAGGCCGAGGGCACGCCUGCCUGGGCGUCACACGUCGUUGCCCCCCACCAUCUACUCCUUCGGGAUUGCGGGGGGCGGAUGAUGGCCUCCCGUGCGCCUAGCCGCGCGGUUGGCAUAAAUACCAAGUCCUCGGCGACGCACGCCACGACAAUCGGUGGUUGCGAAACCUCGGUUGCCCGGCGUGUGCGUUCGUCGCGCAUCGAGGGCUCGAAAAAAUGCUCGGCUCCGGCUCGGCUUUCAACGCGACCCCAGGUCAGGCGGGGUUACCCGCUGAAUUUAAGCAUAUCAAUAAGCGGAGGA